rnacentral:tRNA from 1 species
GCCCCAAUAGUAAAAUGGUUAUUACGAGCCCCUCCUAAGGGCUAAUUGUAGGCUCGAUUCCUACUUGGGGUGCCA